CCUGAAGAUGACCACUGUUCUUCAGCUCCUGCUUCCGGUCCAGCACGGUUUCGCUCUUCACGUAGAACGCCUUCGUCUCCUGGAGCAGUUCCACCGCGCUCUUCCGCUUCCCUGUAGCACGUGACGAGGAAACCAGACGGCUCAAAUCGCUGGUUCCGACAGGGUACAGUGAGGAAUCUUUGGUGUUCGAGGGAGUAUUUCCAGUGGAAAAUUACGUUUCGGUUCUUUAGUAUAGGACUUUUUUUGCGAUUGGACAGGAUGUUGCAGGAAGUUUAAUACAACAGGAUAUAUAGGGUUAUUGUUGAGGAUGCAUUUGUACUUUUGGAGAUUCUAGGCGCAACAUCGUCAUAAAGUGUUUCUGAAAAAUGUGAAAUAUGCAUGGAAGCUAUCUGUAACCAGGUACACCGUCUUUUUCACCUGCAAUGUGAUAUUGCAAAUAUUCCUUCAGCGCUUAUGCGUUUUCUCAAAGGUAUGUCACAACUAUGUGAAAAAAACUGUACUUGAGGUAAAGUAUUGACACAUUUUAUUAACAUUAUAUAACAACGAUAACCUCGAGUAUUGUGAAAUUACAAGCAGUAAAAAGAUAUCCUAUAAUUUAAGCUACUAAAUUAAUAAAUAAUUCAAGUUAUGAAAUUUAUCGUUUGCCACGAAUAAUAUAAUAAUAUUUACACUAUAUAUAUUCUCAUUGUUAUGAUAUAACAAUAUGACAUACGAAUAACGAGUUUGUAAUAGUACGAGUAUAUACUAAAAUGAAGGUGAUGCAACGUGAAUUACUAAAGUUAACAUUAUAUAACAAACCACAAGCGUAAAUUCAACGUACAAGCGUCGACUGAAAUCGUGGAGAGAGGAAGCAUUUCACCUGUGAAUCGAACUGUAAUACCUAUUUCAAAAACCUCGCAAAAUAUUAUGAAUGCAGGCAGCGUUCUCAAUAGUUUCACUUUAACAUAAUUUCCGAAUAGCCACAAGCACAUCCUGUUGUGGUAACGACCCACCGCAAACAAUGAAGAAAAAAUACAGUCGAGUCAAUAGUUCGGGAAAUGGAAUGAAUAAAAAUCGUGAAAUUUAUGCUAAUCGUUCACCACAUAAAAAAUAACGACACAUAACAAGUAAAUAACGUGUGUGUGUGUAUAUAUAUAUAUAUAUAUAUAUAUAUAUAUAUAUAUAUAUAUAUAUAUAUAUAUAUAUAUAUAUAUAUAUAUAAGUACACUUUUUUUAGCAUAAAAUGGUAAUACUGUUUACAGUACAAUUGUAGUUUUUAUUUUAUUUGCAUUUUAUUUUAUUCUGAAAAUAUACUGAAGAAUUAUUCAUACAGAAUUAAUACAAAAUACUGAUUUUUCGAUAUUUUAUUCUUGAAACUUGAAAAUAUUUCUAUUUGAAGAAAUUUUUGUUUCUAUGAUUGCGUGCAUACGAGAGAUUCAGUAGGAAAGAAGUACAAGAUGGAUUUUUUCUAAAGACGAGAUAAAUAGAAGAAAGGAUAUAUUAAAACGUGGAUCCUAGAGGACUUUACCUUCAAUUUCCACGUCUUUGUGAGUGCCUAUGAAAACGCGUUUUAACGUUGGAAAACAGAUUUUUCUAUUAAAGUUUAAUUUUACCUGCACUUUUCCACUUCUCUUUCAUAUUUCUUAAUCCGGCUAGGAUCUUGAAAUUUUGAUAUCUCGACUUUGUUCUCAUUACAGCGAAGGAACAGGAACAUUUCUAGAGUUUUAAGAUCCAACAUAAAAUUUGUACCAGAAUGAUUUAAUUUUCAUAUGUUAUUCGAAUUUUAGAUAUUUUUCAAGCUUGGAAAAAUACAAAGGGGUCGGAAUUGACUGAAACAACGCAGUAAGAUUAAAUUAGUGAUUUUAUCAAUUAUGCUACUUUUCUUCUUGACUCUUUAAAUAACAUACACUGUACACGUUAUACAGCGAUUUAGCGUUUCACUUAGUAUUCGAAAAAUUCCACGUAAACGACACAAAAUUGACAAAUCUAAUUGUUGCAGGUUCCUGACUCCAACAUACAUACGUAAACAAUUUGAAAAGCGAUGGCUGGACGCAUCGUUGCAUUCGUCGAUCGAUCGUGCCACGAAAGGAAGACGUAAAUGAAAGUGACGAAACGGGUCAGCAACGACAUAAUGGAAAACAGUAAAUGGAAUGGAGGAUGCACCUUUUUCCGAGCAAUGGGGAAUGGUUUGCAGCGAUAUGUUCGUGUUGAUGAACGAUAACGACAUGCAACUGAACCGGAAGCCAAGUAGACGCGCAAGCUUUCGUGUUGGUUAACAAUAUUUUCACCUAACGUGGCGACCACCUGAGAAAAAAUGUUUCCACGCUGUGUGAAUGAAAGUAACAAGAUUAGAUAGUCGACAGAAAUAAACGAAGGACAAAUUACGCAUAAGAAUCUUCUUGGGCCGCCAUCGAAGAAGCUACCGUGUACUGUACAAGGACCUUAUAAAUAAUUCACGAUGGCACUCUAAUUACGUUAGGAACUUUUAUCAGUAGGAAUCCAUUUUUCACCUCGAAUCAUCGUAGAUCCUGACCACCUUCAACCUUAUAUAUACGGUGGUUGAGGUACCUUGAAUAAUUAAUUGUUAUAUCAGAUUGUUUUAUGAUUUUAAUCUUACUAUAGUUUUUCAAGGAAUCGUCACUCUAAUUCUUAGGUGUUCUAUCUAGCGGAGAUUACAUAGUCUGUAAACUGAGAAAACUGAGUUUAAAGUUUAUGGAGUUUAAUACUAUCGUAAGGAGUUAGGAGUUUAAAAAACUGAAUAUUUAUUGCUUUCUAAAUAGAAUUUUACCAAUGAAUCAUAUUAUGAUAUUACCAAUGAAUUAGUGUUCUUUACUCCAAUAAGAGAUAUGACGAUAUGGAUAAUUACAAUUUUUUUUUUUUUUUUUUAGAAUCGAAGUAAAGCAGCAAAGGACUGGGGCAACGAAAUAUUAAUAUACGUGGUCUCUCAUUUCAAUUUUAUUAAAAUUCCUUUUGAAGUAUGAACGAUCUUUUUAUCCAAUUCUGUAAAUAUACUGAUAUUGAAUGCUUUGAUAUUUUCUACGCUCCCCAUGGGUUGUACAGAUUAACCCUUUUGCAUCUAUAUCUCGCGAUGUCGUUUAUGCUUCGAGAGGCGUUUCUUUUCAUUGACAUACCAGACAUUUCAUCCGCGGAUGUGAAAGGGUUAACGAUCCUAAACUCAUACCAGGAUAGCUCCUACGUUCAAAAAUGUCUUGUUUCAUUUCUCUUUAAACGUUGACGCGAUAUUUAUAAUGUAUUAAGGUAAAUAUAAUUGCGUACCAUAGAAUAGAUAACUGUUACUAAUACGAUAAAAAAUGUUUAGUACAGAA